CGACAAAAGCCUCAGACCGAGUACUGGUAGCCGGCCUGAGAGGGCGACCGGCCACACUGGGACUGAGACACGGCCCAGACUCCUACGGGAGGCAGCAGUGGGGAAUAUUGCACAAUGGGCGAAAGCCUGAUGCAGCGACGCCGCGUGAGGGAUGACGGCCUUCGGGUUGUAAACCUCUUUCAGCAGGGAAGAAGCGAAAGUGACGGUACCUGCAGAAGAAGCGCCGGCUAACUACGUGCCAGCAGCCGCGGUAAUACGUAGGGCGCAAGCGUUGUCCGGAAUUAUUGGGCGUAAAGAGCUCGUAGGCGGCUUGUCACGUCGGAUGUGAAAGCCCGGGGCUUAACCCCGGGUCUGCAUUCGAUACGGGCUAGCUAGAGUGUGGUAGGGGAGAUCGGAAUUCCUGGUGUAGCGGUGAAAUGCGCAGAUAUCAGGAGGAACACCGGUGGCGAAGGCGGAUCUCUGGGCCAUUACUGACGCUGAGGAGCGAAAGCGUGGGGAGCGAACAGGAUUAGAUACCCUGGUAGUCCACGCCGUAAACGUUGGGAACUAGGUGUUGGCGACAUUCCACGUCGUCGGUGCCGCAGCUAACGCAUUAAGUUCCCCGCGG
rnacentral:rRNA from 1 species